rnacentral:rRNA from 1 species
UGGCUCAGAAUCAACGCUGGCGGCGUGCCUAAUACAUGCAAGUCGAACGCGAAAGUCCCGCAAGGGGCAAGUAGAGUGGCAAACGGGUGAGUAACGCGUGGGCGACCUACCUUCGAGUGGGGGAUAACCUUCCGAAAGGAGGGCUAAUACCGCAUGACAGCCUCUGUUUGGAUACAGGGGACUCAAAGCCGGGGAUCGCAAGACCUGGCGCUUGGAGAGGGGCCCGCGUCCGAUUAGCUAGUUGGUGGGGUAACGGCUCACCAAGGCUCCGAUCGGUAUCCGGCCUGAGAGGGCGGACGGACACACUGGGACUGAGACACGGUCCAGACUCCUACGGGAGGCAGCAGUGGGGAAUCUUGCGCAAUGGGCGAAAGCCUGACGCAGCGACGCCGCGUGAGUGAUGAAGGCCUUCGGGUUGUAAACCGCGAAAGUAGGGAGGAAGGCUUCGUGAAGUAACGAGGUUUCACCAAUCUACAGUAAGGACGGGCUAA